AUUGAACGCUGGCGGCAGGCCUAACACAUGCAAGUCGAGCGGAAACGAAGGGAGCUUGCUCCCAGGCGUCGAGCGGCGGACGGGUGAGUCACACGUGAGAAUCUGCCCAUUAGUGGGGGACAACUCGGGGAAACUCGAGCUAAUACCGCAUAAUCCCUACGGGGGAAAGCAGGGGACCUUUUGGCCUUGCGCUGAUUGAUGAGCCCACGUCGGAUUAGCUUGUUGGUGAGGUAAAGGCUCACCAAGGCGACGAUCCGUAGCUGGUCUGAGAGGAUGAUCAGCCACACUGGGACUGAGACACGGCCCAGACUCCUACGGGAGGCAGCAGUGGGGAAUCUUGGACAAUGGGGGCAACCCUGAUCCAGCCAUGCCGCGUGUGUGAAGAAGGCCUUCGGGUUGUAAAGCACUUUCAGCAGGGAGGAAGGCUUUGGCCGAAUAGGUUGAAGUACUUGACGUUACCUGCAGAAGAAGCACCGGCUAAUUUCGUGCCAGCAGCCGCAGUAA
rnacentral:rRNA from 1 species